UGAAAGCUGCAGGAAAUUCAGAGC
rnacentral:piRNA from 1 species